CGUGCCUAAUACAUGCAAGUCGAGCGAACGGACGAGAAGCUUGCUUCUCUGAUGUUAGCGGCGGACGGGUGAGUAACACGUGGAUAACCUACCUAUAAGACUGGGAUAACUUCGGGAAACCGGAGCUAAUACCGGAUAAUAUUUUGAACCGCAUGGUUCAAAAGUGAAAGACGGUCUUGCUGUCACUUAUAGAUGGAUCCGCGCUGCAUUAGCUAGUUGGUAAGGUAACGGCUUACCAAGGCAACGAUGCAUAGCCGACCUGAGAGGGUGAUCGGCCACACUGGAACUGAGACACGGUCCAGACUCCUACGGGAGGCAGCAGUACGGAAUCUUCCGCAAUGGGCGAAAGCCUGACGGAGCAACGCCGCGUGAGUGAUGAAGGUCUUCGGAUCGUAAAACUCUGUUAUUAGGGAAGAACAUAUGUGUAAGUAACUGUGCACAUCUUGACGGUACCUAAUCAGAAAGCCACGGCUAACUACGUGCCAGCAGCCGCGGUAAUACGUAGGUGGCAAGCGUUAUCCGGAAUUAUUGGGCGUAAAGCGCGCGUAGGCGGUUUUUUAAGUCUGAUGUGAAAGCCCACGGCUCAACCGUGGAGGGUCAUUGGAAACUGGAAAACUUGAGUGCAGAAGAGGAAAGUGGAAUUCCAUGUGUAGCGGUGAAAUGCGCAGAGAUAUGGAGGAACACCAGUGGCGAAGGCGACUUUCUGGUCUGUAACUG
rnacentral:rRNA from 1 species